UACAGAGGGGGCAAGCGUUAUUCGGAAUUAUUGGGCGUAAAGCGCGUGUAGGCGGCUUUGCAAGUCGGGUGUGAAAGCCCUCAGCUUAACUGAGGAAGUGCGCCCGAAACUGCAGAGCUUGAAUACCGGAGAGGAUGGCGGAAUUCCCCAAGUAGAGGUGAAAAUUCGUAGAUAUGGGGAGGAACACCGGUGGCGAAGGCGGCCAUCUGGACGGCUAUUGACGCUGAGACGCGAAAGCGUGGGGGAGCAAACAGG
rnacentral:rRNA from 1 species